rnacentral:rRNA from 1 species
CCUACGGGUGGCAGCAGUGGGGAAUAUUGCACAAUGGGGGAAACCCUGAUGCAGCGACGCCGCGUGAGUGAAGAAGUAAUUCGGUAUGUAAAGCUCUAUCAGCCGGGAAGAAAAUGACGGUACCUGAGUAAGAAGCCCCGGCUAACUACGUGCCAGCAGCCGCGGUAAUACGUAGGGGGCAAGCGUUAUCCGGAUUUACUGGGUGUAAAGGGAGCGUAGUCGGGUUGACAAGUCAGAUGUGAAAUCCUGCGGCUUAACCGCAGAACUGCAUUUGAAACUGGUGGUCUCGAGUAGUGGAGAGGCAGACGGAAUUCCUAGUGUAGCGGUGAAAUGCGUAGAUAUUAGGAGGAACACCAGUGGCGAAGGCGGUCUGCUGGACAGCAACUGACGGUGAGGCGCGAAAGCGUGGGGAGCAAACAGGAUUAGAUACCCCGGUAGUC